GGGCCGCUGGUCUAGUGGUAUGAUUCUCGUAAGUCCUCCUCACUGCACAACAAACACCCACAUCUGUGGAUUCAUCAAGACUGACCGUUCGAACAGGCUUAGGGUUCACCCUAAAGUACAAAUUGCGAGAGGUCCCGGGUUCAAUCCCCGGGUGGCCCC